UACGUAGGGUGCGAGCGUUGUCCGGAAUUAUUGGGCGUAAAGAGCUUGUAGGCGGUUUGUCGCGUCUGCCGUGAAAUUUCGAGGCUCAACCUCGAACUUGCGGUGGGUACGGGCAGACUAGAGUGUGGUAGGGGGAGACUGGAAUUCCUGGUGUAGCGGUGAAAAUGCGCAGAUAUCAGGAGGAACACCGAUGGCGAAGGCAGGUCUCUGGGCCACUACUGACGCUGAGAAGCGAAAAGCAUGGGGGAGCGAACAGG
rnacentral:rRNA from 1 species